GACGAACGCUGGCGGCGUGCCUAAUACAUGCAAGUAGAACGCUGAAGGAGGAGCUUGCUUCUCUGGAUGAGUUGCGAACGGGUGAGUAACGCGUAGGUAACCUGCCUGGUAGCGGGGGAUAACUAUUGGAAACGAUAGCUAAUACCGCAUAAGAGUAGAUGUCGCAUGACAUUUGCUUAAAAGGUGCAAUUGCAUCACUACCAGAUGGACCUGCGUUGUAUUAGCUAGUUGGUGAGGUAACGGCUCACCAAGGCAAAGAUACAUAGCCGACCUGAGAGGGUGAACGGCCACACUGGGACUGGGACACGGCCCAGACCCCUAAGGGAGGCAGGCGUAGGGAAGCUUCGGCAAUGGACGGAAGUAUGAACGAGCAACGCGGCGUGAGUGUAGAAGGUUUUCGGAUCGUAAAGAUCUGUUGUAAGAGAAGAAAGAGUGUGAGAGUGGAAAGUUCACACUGUGACGGUAUCUUACCAGAAAGGGACGGCUAACUACGUG
rnacentral:rRNA from 1 species